GACGAACGCUGGCGGCGUGCUUAACACAUGCAAGUCGAACGGGCCCGCCCCUGUUUUUGGGGGUGGGUUGAGUGGCGAACGGGUGAGUAUCACGUGAGUAACCUGCCCCCUGCUCCUGGAUAACUGCUUGAAAGGGCGGCUAAUACGGGGUGUGCCGGCUGGUCCGCAUGGGCCUGGUCGGGAUAGUUUCAUCUUCGGGUGUUUCGGUGGGGGAUGGGCUCGCGGCCUAUCAGCUUGUUGGUGGGGUGAUGGCCCACCAAGGCGGUGACGGGUAGCCGGCCUGAGAGGGUGGGCGGCCACACUGGGACUGAGACACGGCCCAGACUCCUGCGGGAGGCAGCAGUGGGGGGUAUUGCACAAUGGGCGGAAGCCUGAUGCAGCGACGUCGCGUGAGGGAUGGAGGCCUUCGGGUUGUGAAACUCUUUCUCCGGUGGUGAAGGCCCUGUCCGUUGCGGCGGGGUUGACGGUAGCCGGGUAUGAAGCGCCGGCUAACUACGUG
rnacentral:rRNA from 1 species